rnacentral:rRNA from 1 species
AUACGGAGGGUGCAAGCGUUAUUCGGAAUCACUGGGCGUAAAGGACGCAUAGGCGGGUUGGCAAGUCAGAUGUGAAAUCCUACAGCUUAACUGUAGAACUGCAUUUGAAACUGCUAACCUAGAGUAUGGGAGGGGGAGAUGGAAUUAGUGGUGUAGGGGUAAAAUCCGUAGAUAUCACUAGGAAUACCGAAAGCGAAGGCGAUCUCCUGGAACAUAACUGACGCUAAGGCGUGAAAGCGUGGGGAGCAAACAGGAUUAGAAACCCUAGUAGUCC